rnacentral:rRNA from 1 species
AUGGAAGCCAUGGAAGUAGAAAGUAGUGGUAAAAGAAGAAGGGGAUAUGGUGAAUCAUCUGUGAAAAGAGAAGGAGAAAGAGAGAGACCUACCAGGACAGCUGGACAAUGGCCUCCAGAAAAAGAUGAUUACCAGCCUACAUAUAUCCCAGGACAAUAUAGAUACAUGGGUACUAAAAGAAGAUAUUUUGAAAAACCAGUGCAAUUCCAAAAUUAUAAAAAUGAUGGUGCUAUAUUAAACCUAGCAGCUCAUGACCCAAUAGAUUGGCCGAAUAUAAUCAGCAUAUGGAAAGGUUUAAUAGUACAAAAAUAUAUACAAAAUCAGUAUAGCAUAGGCACUAAGGUAGAAGAUAUGUUAACAUAUCUUGAAACAUUUUUAGGAGAAUCUGUAAAAGUUCUUUGGGAACAAUGGGUAGAAUCAUACCCUAGUCAAUAUGAAGAAUUAAAAAGGGCAGGAAGUAACCCUAAUAACUUUGCGAAUGUUAUCUCAAAUAUGAUCAUAGCAGAAGAUCCUGAAUUAGGACAUACCUCAUUGCAAAAUGAAAGGUUAAGAGAAAUAGAAAAAUUAACAUUAACUAGCUGGAAAGGUAUUAAAGAGUUUUCCCAGCAUUAUUUGUAUAAUGCUACUACUGCUAAACAAGGUUUUAAUGUAGGCGUAGUAGAAAGAUAUUUUAAUAAGUUGCCUGAUCCCCUAGGGUCAAUAAUAUUUGAAGAAUAUAAAAAGGAAACGGCGGGAAACGUGGUAAACAUAUCUCAAGCUGUAACAUUUGUUUUCAAACAAUUAAGAAAGGUGUGUACUAGUAUUCAAGCCCAAAGAUCUAUGAAGAAAUCAGAUUAUAAUUUUUGCAAUAACAUAGUCCAAAUACCACUUACAUAUGGAGAAGAAAAAUAUAUUGUUCGAUUACCAUUCAAAGAAGUGUUAGGAAUAAGGAUCCCAGUUAAGAUUGUUCUGAAGCCAAAUAUUUCAUAUAAAGUACUGGCACUAUUAGAUACUGGUUGCACUAAAAAUAUCAUCCAUGAUAAAUAUUUUAUGAGAUGUCCCGAAAUAGUUGAAACUAUAGAUGAUAAUAAAGCUGAAGUAUCUACCGAUAUGUCAGGAAUAAAGAAGAUCCAUAACCAGCUAGCAUAUAAUAUUGAAGCUUACAUAAAUGGCACAAAAUAUAUAAUAGAUGAAAUUACAAUAAGAGAUUUGUCAGUAAUAAACGAUGACAUGAUAAUAGGGUUAAGAUUUUUACAACAAUCUUUACAAACCACAAUCAUACAUGAAGAGGGGGUAACAUUUAUUCCUUAUCAAGAUAAUGUUCCAUACAUAUCUGAAGUGCGAAAACAAAGAAAGUCCUUACAAAAUGUAGAAAUAUCUAAUUUAGAUGAUGAAUAUAGCACAAGUCCAGAUCCCCUUGAAUUCUGUAAAGACGAAGAACUUAGUGAGACCAUAGAAGAAUAUCAUAUAGAAAAUACAUGUACUGAAUGCAUUGGGUUGCAAUCAUUCUCUCCAAAUUGGUAUAGAGAUAUAAAAUCUAAAAAGGAUAUAGAUAAGAUUGUGCAAAGACUAGAAAGUAUACAAAUUAUUGGAGAAAUACCAAUGAAACAUUGGGAUAAGAACUCUAUAGUUUGA